CGGGUGAGUAACACGUAUCCAACCUGCCGUCUACUCUUGGACAGCCUUCUGAAAGGAAGAUUAAUACAAGAUGGCAUCAUGAGUUCACAUGCUCACAUGAUUAAAGGUAUUCCGGUAGACGAUGGGGAUGCGUUCCAUUAGAUAGUAGGCGGGGUAACGGCCCACCUAGUCUUCGAUGGAUAGGGGUUCUGAGAGGAAGGUCCCCCACAUUGGAACUGAGACACGGUCCAA
rnacentral:rRNA from 1 species